GAAAUGCGAUAAGUAAUGUGAAUUGCAGAAUUCAGUGAAUCAUCGAAUCUUUGAACGCACAUUGCGCCCCUUGGUAUUCCGAGGGGCAUGCCUGUUCGAGCGUCAUUACACCACUCAAGCUAUGCUUGGUAUUGGGUGCCGUCCUUAGUUGGGCGCGCCUUAAAGACCUCGGCGAGGCCUCACCGGCUUUAGGCGUAGUAGAAUUUAUUCGAACGUCUGUCAAAGGAGAGGACUUCUGCCGACUGAAACCUUUUAUUUUUCUAGGUUGACCUCGGAUCAGGUAGGGAUACCUGCUGAACUUAAGC
rnacentral:misc_RNA from 1 species